rnacentral:ncRNA from 1 species
UGAUAGCUGUGAAGCGAGAGGUUGUUGCCUGUCAGCAAUGGCAAGCAGGUUUUCCGUGGAGCGAAUGUCAAGUUAGAAAACUGACGACAA